UUGGAGGAAUGUAUAGCGAAAGCUACUUGCAUUUAGCUUAGUUAAAGCUAAGUUUAUGCAGGAUUGACUAUGUCGAAUAAAGUUCUAGGUGGGUUAUGAUGAUGACAUUUCCUAUCUAUGUGUCUUGACCAAAUUACGUGCCAGCAGUCGCGGUAACACGUAAUAGACUAGUGUUAUUCAUCUUUAAUAGGUUUAAAGGGUACCUAGACGGUAAAUCAAGUCCAAGAAGGGUACUAAUUUGCUAGAGUUUAAUGUGAGGGGGCACUAAAGUACUGAUAAGUGUAGAGAUGAAAUUCUGUGAUACAAUAUAUGGCACUGGCAAAGGCGAAAGCAUCUCAUUAUGUAAUAACUGACGUUGAGGGACGAAGGCUAGGUGUAGCAAAAAGGAUUAGAUACCCAAGUAGUCUUAGCAGAAAAUUAUGAAUGUCAUAGGAUGGAAAGUUGGAUGGAUAAACAACAAAACUUUUUUCUAUAAAUGAAAGUGUAAGCAUUCCACCUCGAGAGUAAUUUGGCAACAUUGGAACUGAAAUCAUUAGACCGUUUCUGAAACAAGUAGUGAAGUAUGUUGUUUAAUUUGAUGGUCCGCAAAAAACCUUACCACAAUUUGAAUAGAAAUUUUUGUUUCAUACAAGCGCUGCACGGUUGUCUUCAGUUAAUGUCGUGAGAUCUUGGUUAGUUCCAUUAAAUUAACGUAAACCCUUACUUUAUUUUGAUAUAGAGUAGUUCACCGCUAGAUUGGAUGUGAUAACAGGGACUAAGACAAGUCAUCAUGGCCUUAAUAUUGUGGG
rnacentral:rRNA from 1 species